rnacentral:rRNA from 1 species
UACGUGAGGUGCAAGCGUUGUUCGGAAUUAUUGGGCGUAAAGCGCACGUAGGCGGGGUUGUGUGUCGAUUGUGAAAGCCCGGGGCUUAACCCCGGAAUUGCAGUCGAAACUGCAGCUCUUGAAUACUUGAGAGGGUGGGGGAAUUCCUGGUGAAGCAGUGAAAUGCGUAGAUAUCAGGAGGAACAUCGGAGGCGAAGGCGCCUACCUGGCAAGAUAUUGACGCUGAGGUGCGAAAGCGUGGGGAGCAAACAGG